UUCUUACACAACCAAAUCAUAAACUGUCUGUCUUGCAAACUCCCCAGGACUUUACUGAAGACUGUCAGAUGACGGCCACAGGAACUGGGCUGUACCAAAGGAUACUGAUGCAUUCCUCAGGCUCUCAGGAGGACUCAGGCUCCUGGAACCUCAGAUCCAGGCCUGCAGAAGUCGGGAGAGAGCUUUUCAAGAAAUGAGGAAAGACUUCCAGGCAGCAAAGCUUUCUAAUCCCACCUGACGCUCCCCAAGUUAUCCGGAGCAGCUUCAUGGAGAAGAACGGUAAUUAGGUUGAUUGACUCCUUAUGUCUGCAUGGCUUUUCAGCUGCUCCGAUGCAUUCUUUUGAGUAUAAGUAAGUUUUCAGUGAAUUACAGAAUAGGCAAUACCGUAGGAAAAGACUGCCAGUAAGCUCUCUGAUUUUAGAUGCUGUUCCCAAUGUAGCUAUUUAGUUCCUUGACUUGUUAGCUCUGGAAAGCCCUCCCUAAACCUAUGAGCCUAGAUGAUUGUGUUUAAUGAAGAAGUCUGGGAUCAUAGACGAGCUGCUUGGCUCUUGCAGAAAUUAAACCCUGACCUUAGUCUCAGUAGCAGUAAGCUUUAAGGAGUACAUCCCAGUACCACGUCUGGUUUUGGUGAUUUCUUAUAUGACUACGAUGUAAUAAAUAAUUUUGAAUGAAGCCUUCA
rnacentral:lncRNA from 13 species